rnacentral:rRNA from 1 species
UACAGAGGUCUCAAGCGUUGUUCGGAUUCAUUGGGCGUAAAGGGUGCGUAGGUGGCGCGGUAAGUCGGGUGUGAAAUCUCGGAGCUUAACUCCGAAAUUGCAUUCGAUACUGCCGUGCUCGAGGACUUGGAGAGGAGACUGGAAUUCAUGGUGUAGCAGUGAAAUGCGUAGAGAUCAUGAGGAAGACCAGUGGCGAAGGCGGGUCUCUGGACAGUUCCUGACACUGAGGCACGAAGGCCAGGGGAGCAAACGGG